AAUCAUAUAUUGAAAAAAGAACUUUGGGAUUACAAUUGGUGAUAUUACAGGAGGAAUAACUUCCAAAUAUGAUGCAUAAUCUAAAUAUUCUCUUGACAACGAAACUUAAAUUGAAACAUCCAUCGAUAUCCCUACAACUUAACAAAAACUUAACCAAGGAACAUCAUCCAACAAGAACAACAUCCCUACAACUUAACUAAAACUAAAAACAGCCAUCAUCGUCAUCAUCGUGAACCGGAACAUCAUCAUCACCAUUGCAGUAUACUUGCCACGCACCCAUAGAAGCGUCCAUAUAUCUUUUGAAUCUACAAAGAAAAUAACAAAAUGAACUGUUAAUACACAAUUCAUUGACAUUAUGUAAAUAGUGAUGGGUUGCCCAGCAAAUAAGAAAUAUUACUUGUUACAACGGGUCAUGACUUCCGAAACAUUGGUUGUCCGGCUAGAUUACCUGAAAUUAUUCGCUUACAACUCAAUAUACUACUUCAGGUCAACAAACAAACAUAAACAGACUCGAAGAAAAAUAAACAGAUGUGACUAUGGCCUAAAAGCAAUCCACUAAUAACAUAGUACCUACUUAGUUGAUAGGUUAAAAGCACAAUAGACACUGCUCAUGUGGAACAGUGCAAGCAACAUAAUGGGAAAUUCGGCAAUUUAUGAACCAUGACAGCAAGAGUUCAUGUGGAUAAUUCAGCAAUUUAUGAAUCAAAGUGGUGAGAGCUCAGUGGUCAGUUUAGCAAUGGAGGAAUCAAAAGGGCAAGAGCAUCUAAGAAGAACAGUACUUGCAUUUCCAUCUUCACAAACAGUUAAGAUAUGGAGAUUGUGGAUAGUUACCAGAACCAUGACUACGAACACUGUCGUAUCUUGGACAAAUCUACUCGCAGCUCCAGCGAUCUAUGAUGUUCGCCUCCGUCUCGAUAGUGCCUGAAUGGAUGAGUGCGGCACCUCACAUUAAAUUACACACAACCAUAGGUACACCAUUGGCGAGAUAGGAGUACAUAAAUAGUUGAAUAAGAGCAGAAAAUGAGCCUGAAAAAUGGUUAGCUAAUGUAAGCAAUAAAGGAAUAAAUGAAUAAUCACCACAAUGGAAAUAGUCUUAGUUGAAGGUAAAACACAGUGACGUACUAUGAAUGUAGAGACUAGCACAUUGAAAACCACC
rnacentral:lncRNA from 1 species